UACGUAGGUGGCAAGCGUUGUCCGGAUUUACUGGGCGUAAAGAGCGCGCAGGCGGUUGUUUAAGUCGAAUGUGAAAGCCCCCGGCUCAACUGGGGAGGGUCAUUCGAUACUGAUCGACUUGAAGGCAGGAGAGGGAAGUGGAAUUCCGGGUGUAGUGGUGAAAUGCGUAGAUAUCCGGAGGAACACCAGUGGCGAAGGCGACUUCCUGGCCUGUUCUUGACGCUGAGGCGCGAAAGCUAGGGGAGCGAACAGG
rnacentral:rRNA from 1 species